GGCUGCGAAAAACCGCCGCUGAUCUCUAUACGAGAGACCAGGAAGUGUCGCGGGUCGUCGCAGCUGCUGGUGUCGGUCACGUGAAGCUGAAGAUCCGCGCCGCUCGGCUCCGUCGCUGUGUUCCCGUCAGACACACGUCACUCAGCGGCUCGUCCUCUCCCAACAUGGCGGGUGUAAGACGAUGGAGGUCUCGCUGAGCCUCGUCUCGUUAACCGUCACCGAGGUGAUACAGCUGUCUGGACUGGCGGGAACCCGGAAGAUGGAGGAGAAAGCGCUGGAGGUGUACGACGUGAUUCGAUCGAUCCGGGACCCGGAGAAGCCGAACACCCUGGAGGAGCUGGACGUGGUGACGGAGAAAUGCGUGGAGGUCCGGGAGCUCGGAGACGACGAGUACCUGAUCAUCAUCAAGUUCUCUCCCACCGUGCCUCACUGCUCUCUGGCUACUCUGAUCGGUCUGUGUUUACAGGUGAAGCUGCAGAGGUGUUUGCCUUUUAAACACAAGCUGGAAAUUUACAUUUCAGAAGGAACUCACUCCACCGAGGAGGAUAUUAACAAACAGAUUAAUGAUAAGGAGCGAGUGGCAGCCGCCAUGGAGAACCCCAACCUGAGAGAGAUCGUGGAGCAGUGUGUGACCGAACCUGACGACUGAGGAGAAGGAGAGUGUGUGUGUGUGUGUGUGUGUGUGUGUGUGUGUGUGUGUGUGUGUGUGUGUGUGUGUGUGUGUGUGUGUGUGUGUGUGUGUGUGUGUGUGUGUGUGUGUGUGUGUGUGUGUGUGUGUGUGUGUGUGUGUGUGUGUGUGUGUGUGAGAGAGAGGUUGAAUAGAUUAAAUUAACUCAGGACAGCGGAGGAGGCGUGAAGCGACAGACGUGUGACGACUGGACGAGUCUUUGUUACCGAGGAAACAGGACACGCCUCCUGCUCUUCUUCCUCCCUCCCUCUGGACUUUUUCACAAGAGAAGAAGAUAAAUGAACAUGAAUCAUGAUUUCCUGUGACAAUGAAAGAAGUUUUCUCCUCAGAAGAAAAUCCGGAUCUUCUACUCUGAGUGAAGACAUUUCAGAGAUUUGAUCCAUCAUCUGCAUCGUGAGGGAGCGGCCGGUCCGCCCGCGUCUCUUCCCCAGCAGCAGCUCAGCGGAUCGCUCUGGCGUCUUCCGCCUCUCGGGCCGACACCGGGUACCGAUGACUUGUUGGUAGUCGGGAGCAGGGAGAUAGAACACAGACACGCGGCGAACAGAGGAGGUGGUUGGCCUGGCCAUGCGUCACUCAGAAAACAGUCGGCCAAUCAGAAGAGAGGCUCAUAACAUACUGAAGAUCUGCGCUCUUCUUCCUCUUCCACCUGUUUGUGGUGGUGUCUUGUGACGUCCUUCCUCUCAUCCGUCCUCGGUGAUCAGAGCAUCACGAGCUCGACUGAUGCAGAAGCUCUGAGGCUCUGCAGAGGGAAGAGUGUUUGACUCGAGGAGAAGAGGCAAUUUACUGUCAGUGUCAAAACAAAGAAAUCAAUCUGGUAAAGAAGUGCAGGGGAGUGUGGAGGGAGAAGGUGAACAAGUACUGUCUGUCAGCUCAGAGAGUGUGUGUGUGUGUGUGUGUGUGUGUGUUAGCAGCAGCAGCGGCAGGAAUGAAAAGCUUUGGACGGACCAGUCGACCAACGUUCAGACCUUCACCUGUGGUCGAGAGCUGAGUGGUUUGAUCUUCUCCCACGAGAAGAAACGUAUUUGAUCUCGUGUUUUACAUGUUUUACACCAAUUCUACAUUUAUGUCCUCAGUCUGGGAACCAGAGGAAUUGUGGGAGCUCAUUUCAUUUGCUCUGGGUAGGGGCGGGGUUUGUAACAUGACGCAGAGAAAAGAAACUUCUGUCAUAUAUGUUAUGUGAAACAACAGGUGAAAAUAAUCUAUCUCAUAAUGUUACAGAAAAUUAUAAUAAAAAAAACUCCCUGGAUCCUCCCCAUGAACGAACGACAAAGGAACUAACAAUUAAAUUAAUGGAAGUUGAUGAAUAUAUGUCGCAGACUUGUUUUUACUGGGUGAAUCUGUCUCUGAGUCUCUCCGCAGCUCAUGGAUGAAAUAUCUGGAGCUUCAGGGCCGGGACGUGGCCCUUCUUCCUCAGGCCUGUGAAGCCCCAGCUUCAGCAGCAUCAAACCAGACGUGGUGCCCCGUGUGAGGCUGACUGAGCCCCUGUUGAGAGGAACACGUCUGCACCAGAGAUCCUGGUGCACCCAGGUCUGGACAAGUGGUUGUAAAAUGCAAAUCACCUUUCCCCCAAGGACAGUGAUCGGCGAGUCAGCUGACUGGCCUGGUUUCUUCCCUCAAAUUCCACCAGCAGGACUCUGAGGAGCCUGUGAUCUCUGUGAAGCUGAACCAGCCGAGGCGACAGCAGGUGGGAGGAGUCCCCCAACGACGAGCUUCCCCUCUGGGACGAGGUGGAUGUUCCUCGAAAACAUGAGCAACACGAGGACGAGCGAGGCAGAAAGUUCUGGCGUCACGAUGGUGGUGACUAUACUUUUUGUCCUCUCUGUCAGCCGGACGUCGUCACAGCAAUGUUCCUGUGGCGGACCUGCAGCUUUCGGCUGUAGUCGGAUCUGUCGCCCUGUUGCCAUGGCAGCGAACCGGCGAGCUCUCUGUGUGCACUGUCGGGGUUUUGCGGUCUGACCACGUGACAUCACCAGGUCUGACCACGUGAGAUCACCAGGUCUGACCACGUGACAUCACCAGGUCUGACCACGUGAGAUCACCAGGUCUGACCACGUGACAUCCCCAGGUCUGACCACGUGAGAUCACCAGGUCUGACCACGUGACAUCACCAGGUCUGACCACGUGAGAUCACCAGGUCUGACCACGUGACAUCCCCAGGUCUGACCACGUGACAUCACCACCUGACAUCACAACGUGACAUCACCAGGUCUGACCACCUGACAUCACCACGUGACAUCACCAGGUCUGACCACGUGACAUCACCACCUGACAUCACAACGUGACAUCACCGGGUCUGACCACCUGACAUCACCACGUGACAUCACAACGUGACAUCACCAGAUUCAAGUUCUGCAAAAACUCUUUUUGCCGCCGGAGGUUCUGCAGCUUCUUACGAUGCUCGUCCUCCUACGAGCGACGGAGCCGCUCGUUCAUCAACAGUCACUUCUGGGAGAGAAACAACACAACUCGUAGGCGUGAGGAGAUCGAUCAAAUGGAUUUUGUGAUGGUCUUUGCCUCCAGGUGCUCUCAGGACACAAGAAACGGACGUAGUCACCACCAGGUCCAAUGCUGAAGAGCCUGAAGAGCCUGAAGAGCCUGAAGAGCCUGAAGAGCCUGUCUUCUGUGUCCUGACCAGCAGGGGGCGACUCUGUGAAAGAUCAAACCUCCCACCUGCAGCCACAUCGCUCCGUCUGGGGAGAGUUCUUCAAAGACGCAGGACGGACGAGCAGGCGGGACGUUCAUCGUCCAACUGGACGGACUGAUGACGCCACACCAGGUCGUGUGUGUGGAUGACCUGUGACCUGAUGACAAGCUUCCACGUUGUUCCUGACAAAGAGGAGAAUUCAACCUCAUUGUGCUUCUGUGCUGAAUAAUCAGCUCAGCGUUCGUCUUCCUGGGGAAACGCUGGCGGACGCACUCAGGUGUGAUUUAUUCAAAAGCAGAAAGGAGGCGCGUCGCUCGAGGCUCUUUCCACAGAACCAACGCUGCUGAGAUGAUUUGUUUUGAAGUGAAUCCAGGGAUUUCAGUCACGCCGGCGUUUUCACUGCAGUGGAUUCAUUUGCAGCAGAAGGCGUUUGUGCUGAUUGGGGCAAUUCUUUUAUGUAGUUACCCAUAUUCAUCAAAGGCUAUUGGUUUUUAACUAUUCAUUUGGUGCCUGGAUUCAGGACAAAGCUUUUCCUCCUGUAAAUGAUUUAUUUUAUAUUUGGAGCAGAGACGAGGAAGAAGAAGAAGAAAAGUUUGUGGUGAUUUUCAUUAAAGCUGCAGUGUGUAAUAUUCA